rnacentral:rRNA from 1 species
AUUGAACGCUGGCGGCAGGCCUAACACAUGCAAGUCGAACGAGUGGCGGACGGGUGAGUAAUGUCUGGGUAACUGCCCGAUGGAGGGGGAUUACUACUGGAAACGGUAGCUAAUACCGCAUACCAUCGGAUGUGCCCAGAUGGGACUAGCUAGUAGGUGGGGUAACGGCUAACCUAGGCGACGAUCCCUAGCUGGUCUGAGAGGAUGACCAGCCACACUGGAACUGAGAAACGGUCCAGACUCCUACGGGAGGCAGCAGUGGGGAAUAUUGCACAAUGGGUGCAAGCCUGAUGCAGCCAUGCCGCGUGUAUGAAGAAGGCCUUCGGGUUGUAAAGUACUUUCAGCGAGGAGGCGUGACUCGCAGAAGAAGCACCGGCUAACUCCGUGCCAGCAGCCGCGGUAAUAC